AUUGAACGCUGGCGGCAUGCUUUACACAUGCAAGUCGAACGGUAACAGGUUAAGCUGACGAGUGGCGAACGGGUGAGUAAUGCAUCGGAACGUGCCCGAUCGUGGGGGAUAACGCAGUGAAAGCUGCGCUAAUACCGCAUACGAUCUGAGGAUGAAAGCGGGGGACCGUAAGGCCUCGCGCGAUCGGAGCGGCCGAUGUCAGAUUAGGUAGUUGGUGGGGUAAAGGCUCACCAAGCCGACGAUCUGUAGCUGGUCUGAGAGGACGACCAGCCACACUGGGACUGAGACACGGCCCAGACUCCUACGGGAGGCAGCAGUGGGGAAUUUUGGACAAUGGGCGCAAGCCUGAUCCAGCAAUGCCGCGUGCAGGAAGAAGGCCUUCGGGUUGUAAACUGCUUUUGUACGGAGCGAAAAGGCUCUCUCUAAUACAGGGGGCUCAUGACGGUACCGUAAGAAUAAGCACCGGCUAACUACGUGCCAGCCGCCGCAGUAA
rnacentral:rRNA from 1 species